rnacentral:rRNA from 1 species
UACGUAGGGCGCAAGCGUUAUCCGGAAUUAUUGGGCGUAAAGAGCUCGUAGGCGGCCUGUUACGUCUGCUGUGAAAUCCCGGGGCUUAACCCCGGGCGUGCAGUGGAUACGGGCAGACUAGAGGUAGGUAGGGGAGAAUGGAAUUCCUGGUGUAGCGGUGAAAUGCGCAGAUAUCAGGAGGAACCCCGGUGGGGAAGGCGGUUCUCUGGGCCUUACCUUGCACUUAGGGGCGAAAGUGUGGGGAGCGAACAGG